rnacentral:rRNA from 1 species
UACGUAGGGUGCAAGCGUUGUCCGGAAUUAUUGGGCGUAAAGAGCUCGUAGGCGGUUUGUCGCGUCUGCUGUGAAAAUCCAGGGCUUAACCCUGGACCUGCAGUGGGUACGGGCAGACUGGAGUGCGGUAGGGGAGAUCGGAAUUCCUGGUGUAGCGGUGAAAUGCGCAGAUAUCGGGAGGAACACCUAUGGCGAAGGCAGCUCGCUGGGACGUUACUGACGCUGAGACGCGAAAGCGUGGGGAGCAAACAGG